rnacentral:rRNA from 1 species
CGCGUAGGCGGUUUUUUAAGUCAGACGUGUAAUCCCCGAGCUUAACUUGGGAACUGCAUCUGAGACUGGAAGGCUAGAGUACUGGAGAGGGUGGUGGAAUUCCUCGUGUAGCGGUGAAAUGCGUAGAGAUGAGGAGGAACACCAGUGGCGAAGGCGGCCACCUGGACAGUAACUGACGCUGAGGCGCGAAAGUGUGGGUAGCAAACAGGAUUAGAUACCCUGGUAGUCCACGCUGUAAACGAUGAACACUUGGUGUGGAGGGAGUUGACCCCUUCCGUGCCGGAGCUAACGCGUUAAGUGUUCCGCCUGGGGAGUACGGUCGCAAGGCUGAA